rnacentral:lncRNA from 1 species
CAGGGAAUAAGAGACAAAGACAGGGUAUACAGGACAAGAGAGUAAGAAGAGAUAUUUGUCCCAGAGGCACAAAGGACUGUCUCUGGAUAGAGAGGAGACAGACAUGGCAGUUUAUAAAGGUCUUCCACAGUACGAAGUCACAAAGAGAAUCUCCGGUCACUCUUAAGUGGAAGAAAACACACCGCCGCGUGACGAUUGCGGUCCAACGCCCAUGGGACGUUUGCAUUGUCUUCACAGGGAGUAUUGCAGCAUCGCUUUCGCUUGUUUCCAGCUGUGUUCAUCAUGACUGUAAUUGCAUGAGUCUGAGGAAGUGCGCUUGUCCCCAGGAAGCGUGACGCCACAUUCUGGCCACCGCACCCUGCAGUCUUCCCACCCUCUGCCUGGACUGUUUGUAGAGCGUAGCCCAGAGCCUUGCAUUUGCCGCCUCUAGUGGCGAAGCAGAUGGGUUACAGGGAGCUGAAUUCAGAAGGCAGAGUCCAGGCUCCCACCAACCACCAGGAAGAGCCGCCUCCAGAUGACGAAGUCCAGGACCGAGG